AAUACGAGUAAUGCUACGCAGUAGCAUUUCUUCAGCAAACUGUCCGCAUGGUGCUGAGUUGUCCUGGUUAAGUGAACCAUGGUUAUCAGCUUUUUUUUAUAAAAAUAAAAUAAAAUCACGCCUGAAGAGUAAAAGUGUGAUAGGGUUUCGUAAUUUUUAUUUUUUCCCCCAAAACCUUUCCCCGUCCUCCUCUCCCACACUUCUCCCUCCCGCCUUCUCCCAUCACCAAGCACUGCCGCCACCGAACAGACUGCCACCCACGGCACCAACUCGAAAUCCGGAGACGCCACCCAGCCACCACUGGCGACGCCCGGUGAGUUGGAGAUGAUGUAAGAUUUUGGGCGGGAUCAAGGAGAAGCAGAGCUACAUGCUCGUUAGAGGGAUUUUCAAGAAAUUCAAAAGAACACGGGUGUAAAGGAUGAUAAACGAUGGGAUUUGAUUUGAUUUUCAAGAACUACACGUUGUCAUAUGUAUUAGCCAUUUUUCCUGAUUUGAUUUGAGUUUUAAUAAGAGAAUGUGUUGUUUGAAGUUGCAAAUUAUUUUGUAUGUGGACCACUGUGCUUGUGAAAUUGGUUAAGAAAGGUUGUGUACAUGA